UACAGAGGUGGCAAGCGUUGCUCGGUAUCACUGGGCUUAAAGGGCGCGUAGGCGGUGCGGUGCGGUUUCGGUGAAAUCCCUCGGCCCAACCGAGGAACAGCCGGGGCUACGGCCGCGCUAGACGGCAUCAGGGGACAGUGGAACUCCCGGUGGAGCGGUGAAAUGCGUAGAUAUCGGGAGGAACGCCGGUGGCGAAAGCGACUGUCUGGGGUGCUUGUGACGCUGAGGCGCGAAAGCCAGGGGAUCAAACGGG
rnacentral:rRNA from 1 species